GAUGAACGCUGGCGGCGUGCCUAAUACAUGCAAGUCGAGCGAACGGACGAGAAGCUUGCUUCUCUGAUGUUAGCGGCGGACGGGUGAGUAACACGUGGAUAACCUACCUAUAAGACUGGGAUAACUUCGGGAAACCGUAGCUAAUACCGGAUAAUAUUUUGAACCGCAUGGUUCAAAAGUGAAAGACGGUCUUGCUGUCACUUAUAGAUGGAUCCGCGCUGCAUUAGCUAGUUGGUAAGGUAACGGCUUACCAAGGCAACGAUGCAUAGCCGACCUGAGAGGGUGAUCGGCCACACUGGAACUGAGACAAGGUCCAGACUCCUACGGGAGGCAGCAGUAGGGAAUCUUCCGCAAUGGGCGAAAGCCUGACGGAGCAACGCCGCGUGAGAGAUGAAGGUCUUCGGAUCGUAAAACUCUGUUAUUAGGGAAGAACAUAUGUGUAAGUAACUGUGCACAUCUUGACGGUACCUAAUCAGAAAGCCACGGCUAACUACGUG
rnacentral:rRNA from 1 species